rnacentral:rRNA from 1 species
GAUGAACGCUAGCGGCAGGCCUAAUACAUGCAAGUCGAACGAUAGUAACCAGCUUGCUGGAUACGAAAGUGGCGCACGGGUGCGUAACGCGUAUGCAACCUACCUUAAUCAGGGGGAUAGCCCGAAGAAAUUCGGAUUAACACCGCAUAAAAUCACAGCACAGCAUUGUGUAAUGAUCAAAUAUUUAUAGGAUUAAGAUGGGCAUGCGUGUCAUUAGCUAGUUGGCGGGGUAACGGCCCACCAAGGCGACGAUGACUAGGGGAUCUGAGAGGAUGACCCCCCACACUGGUACUGAGACACGGACCAGACUCCUACGGGAGGCAGCAGUAAGGAAUAUUGGUCAAUGGAGGCAACUCUGAACCAGCCAUGCCGCGUGCAGGAAGACAGCCCUCUGGGUCGUAAACUGCUUUUAUUCGGGAAUAAACCUAUUUACGUGUAGAUA